UCCCACUAUGAGCCUGGAGUCUGAGCAGCCAGAUGACACAGGAGGUUACCAGAAAAUAACUAUGCAAGAUGCCAAGAUAGAGAGGCAAUUAAUAGUCCUACCCAGUUGUGAUACCUUUCAACCAUGGCAAUGACCAGCAUGAAAAUGGAGACCAUCACAGAAAUCCACAGCUGGACACAAUGCAGACAUCAACAGAUCCUGGGUAGCCCUACCCCACAACUACGUCACAACUCCUGCAUUUAUGGCUCUGCAAACAUCACAGAGAGGGGCUAGGAAGACUGUAAGAAUGAAACACCAGAAGUUGGCUGUGAAACAGUCUUUCCUAGAAAUGCCUGCAUAAGCAAAAUUUGAACAAUGGCAGUAUCAGUAGACUUGUUGAUGUGGAAAGGAAAAACAACCUCACAGGGGCACAUCUGUGGAUAAGGCAACUGAUGACUGCUGGGAAUGGGAGAGCUACCCUCUACCUGGGAGGAGCUCUCUAUUUAGUUAUCCAAUACAAACAGUAUCAAUGAAACUGUACAUAAACAAAAAAUAGAAUGGACUCGGUAGGUUGUAUUUGUGCAUAAAUAUAUGUAGCAAUAAUAGUGGGACAAGAAGAGUUUGAGCAGUUUGAGAGUUGUGGCAACUUGGGAGAAAGUGCUAUAAUUAUAUUUUAAUUAAAAUAUGUAAAAAUACAUAGAAAAAAUUCAAUAAAUUUUCUUUUGUGAAUAGGGCAAACGUUUUCAUACUUUCUGAAAUGGAUCUAAACAUGUUCCUGCAUUUUACACCAUGCAUUUAUGAAGAAUGGUGGGUGCUCUUAGAGUUGAUGUAUAAAAAUAAACAUUGAACACUUGGACAAACCUCCAAGAUGUUCUGUGUCUUGCAAUAUCAAAUAAGCAGUUAAGAUUUAGGUCCUUAUGUGAACACUAACAAGCAUGUGUAUGUUAUUAGUUUAGUUUUUAAUAAAUUGUAAAAUUGUAUGUAUAGUAGAUAAUUGCCUUAAUUUUCUGUAAUGUGUAAUCAGUGAACAUAUACCUAUUUUCUAGACAUACAUAUCAAUAGUCAUGUAAAAACUUUUCAGGUAUGAAGUGGUUAUGAGUGUAGAGUUUAGGAAGCCUUGUUCUUGACUGUCCAUGUGUAGAUAAUUAAUAUUUGUGGGUAUAGGUGCUAUUUAUUCCUCAUCUAACAAGUUUAAAGUUUGUUUUUAAUAACAGUAAAUAAUGUGUUAACAUAAAGUUAGCAUUACAGCUUU